rnacentral:rRNA from 1 species
AGCUCCAAUAGCGUAUAUUAAAGUUGUUGCGGUUAAAAAGCUCGUAGUUGGAUCUCGGCAGCCAGGGGGCGGUUCGCUCCAAAGCGUGACUGCCCCAUUUGGCUGUGUGAUUGGCGGAGGUUCCGGGGUGCUCUUCGUUGAGUGUCCCGGUGCGCCGUCAGGUUUACUUUGAAAAAAUUAGAGUGCUCAAAGCAGGCUUUUCAGGCUUGAAUAUUCGUGCAUGGAAUAAUGAAUUGGGAACUGGUUCUAAUUUUUUGGGUUUCCGGAAACGAGGUAAUGAUUAAUAGGGACAAUUGGGGGGAUUAGUAUUCCAACGACAGAGGUGAAAUUCUUGGACCGUUUGAAGACUAACUACUGCGAAAGCAUUUGCCAAGAGUGUUUUCA